UACAGAGGUCCCAAGCGUUGUUCGGAUUCACUGGGCGUAAAGGGUGCGUAGGUGGUGAGGUAAGUCGGAUGUGAAAUCUCCGGGCUCAACCCGGAAACUGCAUUGGAAACUACCUUGCUUGAGGAUUUGAGGGGGGGAUUGGAAUACUUGGUGUAGCAGUGAAAUGCGUAGAUAUCAAGUGGAACACCAGUGGCGAAGGCGAGUCCCUGGACAACUCCUGACACUGAUGCACGAAAGCUAGGGGGAGCAAACAGG
rnacentral:rRNA from 1 species